rnacentral:pre_miRNA from 1 species
GUAUGUGUGGUGAUUAGGCAGUGUAUUGUUAGUUUGCUGUUGAAACUAACCAGCAACUACGUACACUACCACAUCAGCACAUGACUU